rnacentral:rRNA from 1 species
UACAGAGGGUGCAAGCGUUAAUCGGAAUCAUUGGGCGUAAAGCGCGUGUAGGCGGCCCGGUAAGUCCGCUGUGAAAGUCGGGGGCUCAACCCUCGGAUGCCGGUGGAUACUGUCGGGCUCGAGUACGGAAGAGGCGAGUGGAAUUCCUGGUGUAGCGGUGAAAUGCGCAGAUAUCAGGAGGAACACCGAUUGCGAAGGCAGCUCGCUGGGACGUUACUGACGCUGAGACGCGAAAGCGUGGGGAGCAAACAGG